rnacentral:rRNA from 1 species
AUUGAACGCUGGCGGCAGGCCUAACACAUGCAAGUCGAACGAGUGGCGGACGGGUGAGUAAUGUCUGGGAAACUGACUGAUGGAGGGGGAUAACUAAUGGAAACGGUAGCUAAUACAGCAUACCAUCGGAUGUGCCCAGAUGGGAUUAGCUAGUAGGUGGGGUAAAGGCUCACCUAGGCGAAGAGUCCUAGCUGGGCUGUGAGGAUGACCAGCCACCCUGGGACUGAGACACGGUCCAGACUCCUACGGGAGGCAGCAGUGGGGACUAUUGCACAAUGGGCGCAAGCCUGAUGCAGCCAUGCCGCGUGUAUGAAGAAGGCCUUCGGGUUGUAAAGUACUUUCAGCGGGGAGGCGUUACCCGCAGAAGAAGCACCGGCUAACUCCGUGCCAGCAGCCGCGGUAAUAG